UUAUAUGGUCAACAUAAAUAUGAAUAUAUAAUCCACUUGUGUCAGGCAAACCCAUGUGCUUGCAUCUGCUCUACCCUAUCCAAAGGCUGAAGGUUUUUUGUGCCUGCCUACUGCCUGCAGGUUACAGUGCUAAUGAGCCUGUCUUGUCUCCUCUGAACAAUCUGUGCUGGAGUUGGAAUAUAUUUCCUGUGGUUCAUCAGAAGAACUGGCAAACAAACAAAGCUGACAGAUGUAGUUCAGACUUGUGAGGAUUUCCUGUUGCAAAAGUUUGGCAUUCACUAACAUUUCCUGGCGAUGUAGAAAAGCCAGAAGAGUACUGGGUUGUUGUGAUGGUUUGCCUGAAGAUUCCUCCUGUGGAUCUAAGUAGAUGGUGAUUUGGAUUACAUGUCCUGCAAGGACUGCUAAUGAAAAGCCAUAGUGUUCUGGAGGAGGUACAGAUGGCCUCUGAAGGAUGGUUGUAUGAUGCUUCAUUCAGUGGGAUUCCGACUCAUCAUACCCAGCCUGCUACCUCAGAGACAGAAGCUGAUGUUUUAAAUAUGAUUGUGGAGCUGAGUACCUUCUGGAGCAGUCACGCUGCAUCUUGGAUGAAUACCAAAGCUGCUGAGCGCUCAGCACUGCGACAGUCUCCAAGGGAGCUAGAAAUGUAUGACCCAGGAAGACCCACAGCUCCCGAAUUCACCGGGAAGCAUAGCAGCUCUUUCAUCCCAAGCUAACGAAAACCUUUCCAUUAGAGCAGGUUUUUCCUAAUCAAAUACCUCUGUGUCAAAAGAUUGUUUGAGAAUUUGUGAUUUAUGUGUUCAAGGAGACUGAGGAAAGGGGUCUUCUGCUAAACAUUCAGUUUCUUUACCCUGACUAAUCAUUCCUUCCUCAAAUUCAUGCUUUGAUGUAAAUAAUAGAAAUUAAAUUAAUGUGGUAGAGAUAUUAUGAUUUUCAGUGUUCACUGAAUAUUACUUUUAAUGCUUGUUCCUUGGGGGGUAAGCUGUGCUCAAGACCUAAAAGUUAAGGAAAAACUAAAAAAAAAAAAGAAGGGAUUUGCCAGGCAAAUGGUUUGGAGGAGGAUAAGAAAAACUGUCGCACAACACAACUGUCACAUAUGUUUUUUCCACCACCCUCUAUCUUCUUUGGUUAUUCAGUAUGUAAGAAUAGUUUUCAUUUCCCAAAUGCUUACAGAACUUCCCUACAAGACUAGUAUCUGCAAAUGACAUUACUUUUACCCAGAGAAUAUAUGUAUGCAGGCUGGACUGGGUUAUGUUUUUUAAAGUUCUUUGCACUCUCAGCCAGUCUGUAGUUGCAAGUUGCAUUAGCAGCAUUUAUUCACUAAAUUUUGCAACAUGAAUUCUUUUCCUCAGAGUUGUUCACCAGUUGAGCUUUGCUAGGCUUGAGGAGCUUGAAGCUGGAUAUUAGGACAAGGUUCUUCAGAGGUCAGUUGGGCACUGGAGCAGGCUCCCCAGGGAAAUGAUCACAAGCCAGUCAACCCAGACUGACAAAGUUCAAGAAGAAUUUGGACAAUACUCUCAGGCACAUGCUGUGGCUCACGGGGUGUCCUGUCCAGGACCAGGAGUUGGACUCCAUGAUCUUUGUGAGUCCCUUCCAACUCAGGACGUUCUAUGAUUCUGUGAGAAAAUGUAGCACUCAAACACUGAGGCCACAGGCAGGGGAAAUGGCAGUGAUGGUGCAUGCCUUUAGAGCUUUCACCACAGGAAUACCCUAUGCAGGUGCUUUGCCAUCACUGUGAAAGCAACUGGUUUAUCUUGCACUGCCAGUGUAGGGCAGAUGGAAGAAGCAGGUAACCUCAUGAUCAUCCCAGCCAUUUCUGCAAGAAGCAUUUGACUACAGCCUGCAUAGAUCUUAUUCCAGUCAUUUACCUUCUUUUCACAUUGCUGCAGCCAGAAGACUGUUAAGUGCGUUUUUAGAGCAGGUUUGAAUUCAGUGAGGCUACUUACAUAAGCAGCUGUCGGCCAGUUUGAGCAGUAUGGCCCUUGGUUCCCAUUUCUAGGACACACCAUUCGAGACACUUGGGCCUGUUACAUCAAUAACCUCUUGGUUGCUCCUUCUCAGUCCUGGUCCUGCAGACUCUGCUGACAAGCUUCAGCACAAUCCCCACUGAAGUUUUUAUAGACUGAGGAAAUUGUGGCUUGUGAUGGAUGGUACAGAAUUCGGUUGUUUAUUUAUCUCUAGCUGAUUUUCUUGUAUCAGAGCUUUCUACUGCUCGAAAAAUGAAAGGUUAAAUGCCCUCAAGUCUUUGUCCUAGAUAGUGCUGUGUCGCUGUGUUUGAACUCAACAGAGAGCUGUAUGUGUAUGCCUUUGCAAAUGCCAUUCCUAUAAUUCUCCCUUGCAUGAUUUUUUUCUGAAAGACUCCAAAGUAAAGCUCGGUGGGAAUUUUCCCACAGUCUAUUUGUUUGUAUGCAAAAAUGCUAACUUGAUGAAAUGGAACUUUUUAGUGGAAAAUAUUUGUUCCAGUAAGAAGGCUUCUCAGAUUCAGAAAUGAAUUUAUGGAAGGAGGAAAAAAAAAAAUAAAUAAAGAGAGAAGGACAAACUUUCCGUUCUAUUCCUCAAAGUAGAUGGCUGCUUAGUGGUCAGGCAUUCCCUGGAGGAAAUGGGCAAGGGAAGUUCAAACCCCACUGAUUCAGUAUGUUAAUCUCUUUAUGGGCCAGCCAUGCAAAGCUGAACAUCAUCAGACAGGGUAAAAGGGAGUAUUCUUACUAGUUUCUGUCUUUUUAUGCCUGUUUGGCAUUUUUUUCCAGGAAGGUUCAAAUUUCAUUUUAAUGCUCAACAAAAGCACAUUUUGGAAUGACCAUUGUUUUCCAGAAUGCUAAUGUUUUGCAGAUAAUGUUACGCUAACCCAGCAGUGAUUGCCUUGCAGAUCCAUUCAUAACUUCUGUAAAGUGCAGGUGACAGAGUCACUCCGUUUGGGAUCUAUAGUGUAAAUGGAGCCCUUCUGACUCUUUGCAGGUUUUUUAGGAGACAUCUAGGGUUUGAUUCUGCAAAUUUCUAACAUAUAAGCUGUCAUAAGCUUCAGCUACUUAACUAAUGGAGCUUUUCAUACACUUGAUGCCAGCACAUUAUGAAUUGAUAACAGUUUUAUUAAAGUCAAUAGAAUGAUUUCUACUGACCUUGAAUGAAAGUUCAUUACAUUGUGUUCUUGUAUCCUCAAGUUUUGAUUUGAUGCUUGGUCUUGUCUUAUUCUACUAAUGUUCAGGUUCUACUAAAAUUAUAUUUAUAUCAGUCAUGUAUUUCUACAAUUUUAGAAAGAAGUAUCUACUUUGUCUAUUCUUUAGGGAGAGACUAGGAAUUCAGGAAACCUGGAUUCUUCUCCAACUUACCACUGACUUAGACUAUCUAUCAUUAUUUAUUAACUUCAGCAAUUAAUUUUAUGAUUCCAAUAUGCAAGGAAAUUUAAGCACUAGGAAAUAAAACAUUUGGUAAAAUAUUGCAUCACAAUACUCAUAACCUUAAUUUACUCAAUGUCAAUUUCACAAUUAGGACAUUAUAAUGCAGUUUUAAUGCACAUUUAUUAUAGUAAUGAAGACCAGAAUUACACAGAUACAACACAAAUCAUAUUUAAUCAAGAGCAAUCUCAGAUAAUAACCAACUAAGAAUUAGAAUUAUAUGGCACUGAUUUUCUAUGUAUCAUUUUUCUUCUAUCAAUAAGUAAUGCCACAGAUUGUCAUAAUAUGAAUUGUUUACAUUUGUUUUAAAACAUUCUAUAAUAUUGAUUGAUGCUUUAGGCUGAGUACUUAUUGUAUGAAUUCCAUGAAAGUUCUCCAACUAAUGAGAAAAUUAAUUUUCCAUCCAGCAUAACUUCAGUUUUCAAUUAGAUGUAAAUUCUAUUUACUAAUUCUUAUAAUGUACUAAUUUCUUCAAAAUGAAAAAAAAAACAAAAAC